rnacentral:lncRNA from 1 species
CAAGAUCAAGGAGUAUCAUGUUUAAACACCAAGGGUUUGUUUAGGGAAUUUUAGUAAAUUUGUCUUUUGAAUGUAAAUAGAAGGAAUGUUCCCUUAUGCUUGGCCAUUUGAAUUCAAUUGCCCCACAAAUGUCAAUUCUUUUGUAGCCUAGCCAAGUUACAACCCUCAAAGACCUUUUGAUCCAUGUUUUUAUGCUUUUUGAAAUGAUAAUUGGAUGGACAUAUAACUUGAUUUGGAUGUUAACUUGAUUGCCGGAUGUGUGUUCAUAACCCUCACUCAUUUGAUUUCAAUUGCAU